rnacentral:sRNA from 1 species
GCCGUGUAGACGACGAGCGCCGGCAGCAGGAAGACGAGGAUGUGCCAGCGCCGCGGGCGCUUGAUCUCGGUGACG